GCGGUCCGCGCCCCCGGCAGGCGGCUACCCGCUCCAGCCGGGUCGGGGCGGAUAUUCGAGCGCCGCGUUCCAGUCGCCGCGCCCGCGC
rnacentral:tRNA from 1 species